rnacentral:misc_RNA from 1 species
AACGCACAUUGCGCCCCCUGGCAUUCCGGGGGGCAUGCCUGUCCGAGCGUCAUUUCUGCCCUCAAGCACGGCUUGUGUGUUGGGCGCCGUCUCCCCCCCCGGGGGACGGGCCUGAAAGGCAGCGGCGGCGUCACGUCCGGUCCUCGAGCGUAUGGGGCUCUGUCACUCGCUCUGGAGGCCGGGCCGGUGCCUGCCCACCCCAAUCUUUCUCAAGGUUGACCUCGGAUCAGGUAGGGAUACCCGCUGAACUUAA